UACAGAGGUUGCAAGCGUUGUUCGGAAUUACUGGGCGUAAAGGGUGUGUAGGUGGUUGAAUAUGUCCGGUGUGAAAGCCCUCGGCUUAACCGGGGAAGUGCAUCGGAAACUAUUUGACUGGAGUGCAGGAGAGGAUAGCAGAAUUCCUAGAGUAGAGGUGAAAUUCACAGAUACUAGGAGGAAUACCUGAGGCGAAGGCGGCUAUCUGGUCUGUAACUGACGCUGAAACACGAAAGCAUGGGGAGCAAACAGG
rnacentral:rRNA from 1 species